AAGCUCGUAUUGAAUUUCGAAUGUGGCUGGGCGGUCCGCCUCACGGUGUGUACUGUCUGGCUGUGUUCUCUUUCUUGGUGAGCCGGCAUGCCCUUUACUGGGUGUGUUGGGGAACCAGGACGUUUACCUUGAGAAAAUUAGAGUGUUCAAAGCAGGCCUACGCCCGAAUACAUUAGCAUGGCAUAAUAAAAUAGGACGUGCGGUUCUAUUUUGUUGGUUUCUAGAGCCGCAGUAAUGAUUAAUAGGGAUAGUUGGG
rnacentral:rRNA from 1 species